rnacentral:rRNA from 1 species
GACGAACGCUGGCGGCGUGCCUAAUACAUGCAAGUUGAGCGCUGAAGGUUGGUACUUGUACCGACUGGAUGAGCAGCGAACGGGUGAGUAACGCGUGGGGAAUCUGCCUUUGAGCGGGGGACAACAUUUGGAAACGAAUGCUAAUACCGCAUAAAAACUUUAAACACAAGUUUUAAGUUUGAAAGAUGCAAUUGCAUCACUCAAAGAUGAUCCCGCGUUGUAUUAGCUAGUUGGUGAGGUAAAGGCUCACCAAGGCGAUGAUACAUAGCCGACCUGAGAGGGUGAUCGGCCACAUUGGGACUGAGACACGGCCCAAACUCCUACGGGAGGCAGCAGUAGGGAAUCUUCGGCAAUGGACGAAAGUCUGACCGAGCAACGCCGCGUGAGUGAAGAAGGUUUUCGGAUCGUGAAACUCUGUUGGUAGAGAAGAACGUUGGUGAGAGUGGAAAGCUCAUCAAGUGACGGUAACUACCCAGAAAGGGACGGCUAACUACGUG